AUUGAACGCUGGCGGCAUGCUUUACACAUGCAAGUCGAACGGUAACAGGCCGCAAGGUGCUGACGAGUGGCGAACGGGUGAGUAAUGCAUCGGAACGUGCCCAGUCGUGGGGGAUAACUACUCGAAAGAGUAGCUAAUACCGCAUACGACCUAUGGCUGAAAACGGGGGACCGUAAGGCCUCGCGCGAUUGGAGCGGCCGAUGUGAGAUUAGGUAGUUGGUGGGGUAAAGGCUCACCAAGCCAACGAUCUGUAGCUGGUCUGAGAGGACGAGCAGCCACACUGGGACUGAGACACGGCCCAGACUCCUACGGGAGGCAGCAGUGGGGAAUUUUGGACAAUGGGCGCAAGCCUGAUCCAGCAAUGCCGCGUGCAUGAAGAAGGCCUUCGGGUUGUAAACUGCUUUUGUACGGAACGAAACGGCUCUGGUUAAUACCCGGGGCUAAUGACGGUACCGUAAGAAUAAGCACCGGCUAACUACGUG
rnacentral:rRNA from 1 species